GGCCCGGACAGACCCCGGACAGAGCCCGGACAGGGCCCGGACAGGGCCCGGACACGGCCUGGACACGGCCCGGACAGAGCCCGGACACGGCCCGGACACGGCCGAGGUGUUCGGGGCUCGGCGGGAGAAACGGGCCCCUAAGCCACGACCGAUGAGGGAGUGCGCUGGCGCUCUUGUGCUCCGAAACUGAUUUCACGCGUUCAGGACGGUCGGGCGCAUUUUGUCCAUCACCUCCGAUGGGCUUCAGCGAACACUCGGGAGCACUAUGAAUUCUUAGACUCAGAGGAGCUGUGUAAAAACCACACUUAAGCCCUCAUACCAUGAGAACUUCACACUGUGAAAUGCAACUGUCCAGUCUCCUCUCACGGUUCACUGCCAGCAGCCUCAUACCAAGCACUAACGCUGGUGCUGCACAUGCACUAGAGGAGCUACAAAGAGGUCCGUGUUGUUCUUCACAAUCCAGGCAAAGCAGCAGGAACAAGAGGGAAAGGGCAGGCUCAUGCCUCCACCAGAGAAGGACAUUUCUCACAUUGAAAAAUGCACACUUUCUGUGUGCAGCAGGACGUGCAGUCAAUGCCGAAGAGCUGACCAGAAGAUGGAGACAGAGGAACACUUUUGGAAGCACACUGGGACCCUGACCUUCGGCUGGGCAGGAGCUGCCCUUGGAAGCAAGGGAGGAGCCAGACCCAUCUCACGGGACACAGGGAUGGAGAGCUGUGGUUAAUUAAAGGGACAUUUCUGCUCACCAAAUCCGGUUUGCUCUGAAAAUCUGAAUUUUUCUAAAAAUCUGUAAAGUUUGAGUAAAAAAAAAAAAAAAUUACAUCUACAAAUCUUUUGAGGCAGAAGGGGAGAAAAUAACUCUUAAUAUUCUUAAGACAUCAUGGCUCUUUCUCAGAAGGCCGUGCAGACACUACACUCUUUGGCAGGUAUCUCCACACAAGAAGCCAGUGACACUCAGAUAAACCUGGAGCAUUCCUAUGAUAUCACAGCAGCUACUAUGGGUCAGCAUUCAUCCAGAGGAGAUCAGAACAUUCAAAGGACUUUCAAAGAUAUUCCUUAUAUGGUUGUUUUCUUCUCCUACUGAGCUGAUGUGCAAGUUCAGAAAAUGCUCCUUGAAUUAAACUGAACUAUUAAGUUAA